rnacentral:lncRNA from 1 species
CGCCGCGCUCCCGUCUCCCGCCUGCUCGGCGAGGUGCGGGCCGUUUAUUCGAUCGUCCUCACAAAUAGCCACAAAACGGCCACCUUUACAUCGUGGGUACAUGGGGGUCGGGCAGGAGUGUGAGGGGUUUCUCGGUGUCCACGGCGGGCCGGAGGCGGAGGGCGCACAAGUUGGCGCCGAUCCGAGCAACGCGGAGACGUCGCAUCACUUCACCUUUCGAUGGAUCUGUUUGAAAGAGUUGGCAAGGAUCAGGAAUACAGUUGUUUCUGCUGAAGUGGGAAGACACAGACCCAACCAUCUCUGCCUCUUGCCUAACGCUCCAGUCAGGCCAAACUCACAGAGAGGAUGGAAUAAGAACAAAAUAAAAGCCAAUAGGAAACAGGAAGAUCAAUCUUUAGCCAAGGGAAGGGAACCAAGAGAUAGCAGAGGAAGGAAAGGGGAUGAAAAAGAACCAAGAUGUGUUGUGUGUGUGGACUAGCUCCCCGUGAGGAAUGGGAUCACGUACUGCAAACAUGUACCAGCAAAAAUUUUAAAAAUAAAAAAGAAACUGGGAGAAUUCUUUUUGGCUAUCCAAGAACUGCUGUUAAGUAUUGAAGAAUACCUUGUACAUAUAAAGGGCUAGAUGUUCUAAGUAAUUUUAAAAAGUUUUAAAGUCUAGGCAGACACUGAAUCCUUCACAUUCUCAGUCAGCUAGAAGGGAACACUGCAAGCUUCGUAACGAUUGCCAUUUCACCUUCAGGACAGCUGCCCAGGAUGUGAAGUAGCGCACAGGUUUGGAAAUCUGAAUGUCUUCGGUUACCAAGUUACCAGAAUCUCUGAACUGCAAUUUCCUCAUCUGAAAAGUUUGGAGAGAAUAAUUAUUUUAAAGGAUUUUUGUGAGAAUUAAGUUAACCCAGAUGUAAAAGCCCAGGGCAUUGCUUAUCAUGGAGUAGAUAAUAAAUGAUGGUUAUCUCCCUUAGGUCUCCCUCUGUCUCAGUGGUAGCACAUCAAAUAAAUAUUUCCUUAAAAAUGGAGAUUU